GNUCAGGACGAACGCUGGCGGCAUGCCUAACACAUGCAAGUCGAACGAGAAAGUUCCUUCGGGAGCAAUUAAAGUGGCGCACGGGUGAGUAACGCGUAGACAAUCUGCCCUUCAGUCUGGGACAACUUUUCGAAAGGAGAGCUAAUACCGGAUAACAAUGCAUGACACAAGUUGUAUAUUUGAAAGCUUUAUGUGCUGAAGGAGGGGUCUGCGUCCCAUUAGCUAGUUGGUAAGGUAAAGGCUUACCAAGGCAACGAUGGGUAGCGGGUUUGAGAGGACGAUCCGCCACACUGGAACUGAGACACGGUCCAGACUCCUACGGGAGGCAGCAGUGGGGAAUAUUGCACAAUGGAGGAAACUCUGAUGCAGCAAUGUCGCGUGAGUGAAGAAGGCCCUUGGGUCGUAAAGCUCUUUUAUGGGGGAAGAUGAUGACGGUACCCCAAGAAUAAGCACCGGCUAACUAUGUGCCAGCAGCCGCGGUAAUACAUAGGGUGCGAGCGUUGUUCGGAAUUACUGGGCGUAAAGGGCGCGCAGGCGGAAUAGUAAGUCGGAGGUGAAAGCCCGGGGCUCAACCCCGGAGGGUCUUUCGAAACUACUAAUCUAGAGAGGGUCAGGGGCCGGCAGAAUUCCUGGUGUAGAGGUGAAAUUCGUAGAUAUCAGGAGGAAUACCGGUGGCGAAGGCGGCCGGCUGGGGCCACUCUGACGCUGAGGCGCGAAAGCGUGGGGAGCAAACAGGAUUAGAUACCCUGGUAGUCCACGCCGUAAACGAUGAGCACUGGACGUCCGGAGGGUUCGACCCUUCUGGGUGUCUCAGCUAACGCAUUAAGUGCUCCGCCUGGGGGAGUACGGUCGCAAGACUAAAACU
rnacentral:rRNA from 1 species